GUGAGGAAUAUUGGUCAAUGGGCGGGAGCCUGAACCAGCCAAGUCGCGUGAAGGAAGAAGGAUCUAUGGUUCGUAAACUUCUUUUGCAGGGGAAUAAAGUGCAGGACGUGUCCUGUUUUGUAUGUACCCUGAGAAUAAGGAUCGGCUAACUCCGUGCCAGCAGCCGCGGUAAUACGGAGGAUCCGAGCGUUAUCCGGAUUUAUUGGGUUUAAAGGGUGCGUAGGUGGUUUGAUAAGUCAGCGGUGAAAGUUUGCAGCUUAACUGUAAAAAUGCCGUUGAAACUGUCGAACUUGAGUGUAAAUGAGGUAGGCGGAAUGCGUGGUGUAGCGGUGAAAUGCAUAGAUAUCACGCAGAACUCCGAUUGCGAAGGCAGCUUACUAAGCUACAACUGACACUGAAGCACGAAAGCGUGGGGAUCAAACAGGAUUAGAAACCCUUGUAGUCC
rnacentral:rRNA from 1 species